AGAGUUUGAUCCUGGCUCAGAACGAACGCUGGCGGCGUGGAUAAGACAUGCAAGUCGAACGCUUGUUGCAAGGUAGCAAUAUUUUGCGACAGGAGUGGCGCAAGGGUACGUAACACGUGGGUCAUUUGCCGCGAAGUUGGGAACAACUCGUUGAAAGACGAGCUAAUACCUAAUGUGCUCCGCAAGGAGUAAAGCCGGGGACCGUAAGGCCUGGCGCUUCGCGAUAAGCCCGCGGCCUAUCAGCUAGUUGGCGGGGUAAAAGCCCACCAAGGCUAAGACGGGUAGCUGGUCUGAGAGGACGACCAGCCACACUGGAACUGAGACACGGUCCAGACACCUACGGGUGGCAGCAGUCGAGAAUUUUUCACAAUGGGCGAAAGCCUGAUGGAGCGACGCCGCGUGGGGGAUGAAGGGCUUCGGCUCGUAAACCCCUGUCAUUUGCGAACAAGGGCGCCAACCUAAUACGUUGUCGCUUGAUAGUAGCAGAAGAGGAAGGGACGGCUAACUCUGUGCCAGCAGCCGCGGUAAUACAGAGGUCCCAAGCGUUGUUCGGAUUCACUGGGCGUAAAGGGUGCGUAGGUGGUUGGAUAAGUCAGGUGUGAAAUCCCCGAGCUCAACUUGGGAAUUGCGCUUGAUACUGUCCGGCUAGAGUGUGGUAGAGGGUAGUGGAAUUCCGCAUGUAGCGGUGAAAUGCGUAGAUAUGCGGAGGAACAUCAGUGGCGAAGGCGGCUACCUGGACCAACACUGACACUGAGGCACGAAAGCGUGGGUAGCAAACAGGAUUAGAUACCCUGGUAGUCG
rnacentral:rRNA from 1 species